CACUGGGUGUCACUUUCCCCCAGUGUGAGGACAGUAGUGGAGUAGGUUUGGCUCAGAGGCCCGAGAGGAAAAUGUUCACUAGGUUCAGCCGCCUGCCCUUGGCCUCCAUUGGCCUCCAUGCCUACCCACAGAUGGUGCACACCACGUAGCGAGUGGGCAGAGGGAAACUGGACCUUCAGUUUUGCUUAGUGUUUGACCAAAGGUGACUCUGACAUAGUGGACUGAGGUCACGCCCUCCGUCCCCCAACAAUCGAUAAUUUAAUGUGACUUAUCAGAAAGAGAAAAAAACUGUUUACUUUUAAGCCCUGGAUCCCAUAAAGGGAGCGAGCAGAGGCCUAAAAUCCCCACAUGCUCAGGACUCGCUGCCCCUGGACCCCCAGCAGAAAUAAGGAACACCAUCCUGCCAGCCGGACAAGGGGCCCUGGGCUGAAAGAAGGCAAAAGCUGACUGGGGUAAGUACCUUCUUUCAGGGCCUGCCAGCCCACUGUGGAAAUGAGGUUGUUCUUCAGGGACGCUGAGGUGAGGGUGAGGGGCUCAGGUGUUUAAAAGGCUCCACACAACUCCUGACCAAUAUCAGGUAUAAGACAUGCAAUAUUUGCAUUUGUCUGACAUGAUUACUCACUCUCUUUAGAAAAUCUGAGCAAGACCCUUUCUGGAAGGUUUUUUAUAUUCCUUAGAGAAGGGAAGGGGGGCUAGAGAAGCAUGGAGGAACCAAAGGCAGGCUUGUAUUUCUACCCUUGGAGUGGCUAUAGAAAGCCAUUUCCAGUUUUAAAAUGGCCUGGUUAUCAACAACACCAAGGGCUUGGGUGAAGAUUCUACCACUAUAAUCAAAGUAGGGUUUGCUUGGCCCAGGAUUCUUUUCUUUGCUUGUGCUUCAGAGUGAGGACACAGGCAAUAUUCACCACGCUUUGUUCUUUUGUGUCUAAGAUUCCUGCAUCACAGUUUCUCCUCUUGCACAUGGGUUUCCUUGAAAAGAAAAGCUGUUUUGUUCUCUGUUGACAAGAACAUUCUAUUUUAAAAAGCCCCAUGCGCUUUCAAAGAUGACAAGACUCAGGAAGUAUGAACCGACUGUCUUUUUCUUUGUCUAGACUGUAAUGGCCUAAAAACAGUCAAAUGGAUGAAUUUAACACGUCUAUUUCACCUGACAGUAAAGGUGGAUUUGCAAUACAAAA